UACAGAGGUCUCAAGCGUUGUUCGGAAUCACUGGGCGUAAAGGGUGCGUAGGCGGGUCUUUAAGUCAGGGGUGAAAUCCUGGAGCUCAACUCCAGAACUGCCUUUGAUACUGAGGAUCUUGAGUUCGGGAGAGGUGAGUGGAACUGCGAGUGUAGAGGUGAAAUUCGUAGAUAUUCGCAAGAACACCAGUGGCGAAGGCGGCUCACUGGCCUGAUACUGACGCUGAGGCACGAAAGCGUGGGGAGCAAACAGG
rnacentral:rRNA from 1 species